rnacentral:rRNA from 1 species
ACGAACGCUGGCGGCGUGCCUAACACAUGCAAGUCGAACGGAACUUCUUUAAAGGAUUUCUUCGGAAUGAAUUUGAUUAAGUUUAGUGGCGGACGGGUGAGUAACGCGUGAGUAACCUGCCUCUAAGAGGGGAAUAACAUUCUGAAAAGAAUGCUAAUACCGCAUAAUAUAUAUUUAUCGCAUGGUAGAUAUAUCAAAGAUUUAUCGCUUAGAGAUGGACUCGCGUCCGAUUAGUUAGUUGGUGAGGUAACGGCUCACCAAGACCGCGAUCGGUAGCCGGACUGAGAGGUUGAACGGCCACAUUGGGACUGAGACACGGCCCAGACUCCUACGGGAGGCAGCAGUGGGGGAUAUUGCGCAAUGGGGGAAACCCUGACGCAGCAACGCCGCGUGAAGGAUGAAGGUCUUCGGAUUGUAAACUUCUUUUAUUAAGGACGAAGAAAGUGACGGUACUUAAUGAAUAAGCUCCGGCUAACUACGUGCCAGCAGCCGCGGUAAUACGUAGGGAGCAAGCGUUGUCCGGAUUUACUGGGUGUAAAGGGUGCGUAGGCGGCUUUGCAAGUCAGAUGUGAAAUCUAUGGGCUCAACCCAUAGCCUGCAUUUGAAACUGCAGAGCUUGAGUGAAGUAGAGGCAGGCGGAAUUCCCCGUGUAGCGGUGAAAUGCGUAGAGAUGGGGAGGAACACCAGUGGCGAAGGCGGCCUGCUGGGCUUUAACUGACGCUGAGGCACGAAAGCGUGGGUAGCAAACAGGAUUAGAUACCCUGGUAGUCCACGCCGUAAACGAUGCUCACCGGCCCUUAGCGAUAAGACAGUUAGGGGUUAAUUGAAAGAAUUAAGUGAGCCACCUGGGGAGUACGUCGGCAACGAUGAAACUCAAAGGAAUUGACGGGGGCCCGCACAAGCAGUGGAGUAUGUGGUUUAAUUCGAAGCAACGCGAAGAACCUUACCAAGUCUUGACAUCAUACCAACGAGAACGCGCUCUGUUAGUUGCCCUUCGGGGAAAGUAGAGACAGGUGGUGCAUGGUUGUCGUCAGCUCGUGUCGUGAGAUGUUGGGUUAAGUCCCGCAACGAGCGCAACCCUUGCUAUUAGUUGCUACGCAAGAGCACUCUAAUAGGACUGCCGUUGACAAAACGGAGGAAGGUGGGGACGACGUCAAAUCAUCAUGCCCCUUAUGACCUGGGCUACACACGUACUACAAUGGACAUAAACAGAGGGAAGCAAUACAGUGAUGUGGAGCAAACCCCUAAAAAUGUUCUCAGUUCAGAUUGCAGGCUGCAACCCGCCUGUAUGAAGAUGGAAUUGCUAGUAAUCGCAGAUCAGCAUGCUGCGGUGAAUACGUUCCCGGGCCUUGUACACACCGCCCGUCACACCAUGAGAGCCGGGGGGACCCGAAGUCGGUAGUCUAACCGCAAGGAGGACGCCGCCGAAGGUAAAACUGGUGAUUGGGGUG